CCAGGGCCGCAGUCGCUUCGACUCAGCCUGCGAGUCUCAGGGGGAAAAGGAGCUCCAGAGGUGCGCCCCCAGUCGCAGCGCUCUUCACCUCGCACCGUAAUUGCGGGAGGAGAGAAAAUAGGAGUGAGGAAAGGUGCACUUUCCGUCUCACCUCAGACCUCCGCUAAGGAAACCGUGUAGUCCUGACCAGUGGGCUCAAGACCCUACUGGAAACUGGUUCUGAUUGCAACUGUCUCAGCUUAUAAGGAAACAAGAACAAGUAACGAGCACACUUUUAAACUGCGCUGAGGAUCCAAAAAUGAAUAAAACACGGUCCCUGCCCUCACAAGACUCCAAGUAAGGUGCGUCACACUCAUGAGCAGCUACGCACAGACUGCGGAAAAGGCUAGAUCAAUAAGACCCCUGCAUCUAUAACUUAGGACAUCUAGACGGGGAACAUCAUCAGAGAGAAAGCAAAUGAUGACGAAAAUCAAUAUGCUUACUUACUCUGUGCUCCCUUAUCCUUCAUUUUCCACUUGUCUUCACCAAAACCUCACCACUGGAGCUAAAUGAAUCACCGCAAUAAGCUUUUUUUUGGUAAAACUGGCUUUCAAAUCUGCUAAUUGGUGAAGAGAUCAGCACCCCUCUCAAGUUACAGAGGCAGAACUUCAGCUGGCCCUUAUUAAAUGAAAGAUCUUCAGUGAAGGUUGAAAGCCCUUCAGAUCAAUCGCAUCACUUUGAGCUCCUCUGAUCUCCCUAGUUCAAUCAUCUGUGCUCACGGCUCACAGGUGUGCAGACAGCUACGUCCAGGACUAACCCAGGACAAAAAUAGUUACCACCCAGUUGAAAUAUCCUUUCUACGGAAGGACCAGACCCAGUGAUCCUACAAGGGGGAGUGUGAGGAUCUGGCUGCUCAGGCCUACAAGGCAAGUUGUGCAGGAUGAAUCUGGAAACCUUGACACACAAGAAAGCAGGGACACCAAAGACUCUGAAAGCACGCUGAAGACUUCCAGCAGCCAAAAACGGGACAAUUUGAGUUUUGAUAAUAAUGGCAAUGGUUAAAACAUCAAAAACAUAAAAAAUUCAUGAAUUCAUAGACAGACUGAAGGAAAUCCACAAAAACCUCAUUGGUUCUUGGAGAAUACGGGGAAACAAACUCAUUAUUCUAAAAAAUGAUAAAUGGAACAUUUAUUCUGCCUUUUCAGUAUAAACUAGACCUCAGUGUAACCAUGUAGUUGAUGAAGGAAAGUUUCUCCUUAUAGAAGUAUUUAUUCUAUCUAAUAAUAAAUAGAAUUCUUGACUGAUAAAUAAAUUAUAGAAUUAUAGUA